AUUGAACGCUGGCGGCAGGCCUAACACAUGCAAGUCGAACGAGUGGCGGACUGGUGAGUAAUGUCUGGGAAACUGCCCGAUGGAGGGGGAUACCUACUGUAAACAGUAGCUACUACCGCAUACCAUCGGAUGUGCCCAGAUGGGAUUAGCUAGUAGGUGGGGUAACGGCUCACCUAGGCGACGAUCCCUAGCUGGUCUGAGAGGAUGACCAGCCACACGGGGACUGAGAAACGGUCCAGACUCCGACGGGAGGCAGCAGUGGGGAAUAUUGCACAAUGGGCGCAAGCCUGAGGCAGCCAUGCCGCGUGUAUGAAGAAGGCAUUCGGGUUGUAAAGUACUUUCAGCGAGGAGGCGUUACUCGCAGAAGAAGCACAGGCUAACUCCGUGCCAGCAGCCGCGGUAAUUC
rnacentral:rRNA from 1 species